rnacentral:lncRNA from 1 species
ACAGAGUCUUGGGGUGAAGCAUUCAGAGAGGAGUUUGAUUGGAGCAAACACAGGAUGGUGUCAUUUCUUAUUGGCUAAGCACGGACCCACCCACCUGUUUAGCCAUUGACCAAUGAACAGCCAGGUUUUUCCAGGAAGUGGCUUUUAAUUACCCAGGAAGUUAAACUCUGUCAUGGCGUCUUUGCCACGCCCCAAACAAUUUGAGUUAAAAUGCUUGUCUGUUCAUUCACACAGAUGUUAACAGUGAGCGAAGUGUGUUUUCCAGUGACUCGUGGCUUUUUUUAAAAUAAAUAAAAUAAUUCCUGCAUUCAAAGGGAGUAUUGCAAAUGGAAGCCACCACAUGUUCAUCAAAUGUGUGAUGAGGAGGCUGGUGACUGAUGAAGCCCCUUGAAGAAGCAAGUAGGUGUCAACAGGGGACUGUUCUGAACCUUCCACCAUGUCACGCUCGCUACCUUCAAGCAGCAAUGAAGCCUGGUGCUGUGACCGGACCACGUCUACUGGAUCCAUCCCGGCCAUUUAAAGGGAAAAGUCUUAAAGGAGUCUUCAGCUGUGGCAGUGGAGCGUCGGGCAGCGGGUUAAGGAACGAUGACUCGGCCGACGGCGAGGACGAAGAGAAGCACAGCUGAACCGUCUUUCACGCUCGCCUCUGCCACGGAACCAGGCCUGAUGGGAAGCCUCUGACGCUGUAAAGCUGCGGUCAGAUCUGCGGAGCGUCCACGGGACCAGGACGAGACAGCAGAGCUUCAAUAUUGUGGAGCAGUUUGUUAUAGUUGCAGAACCACAGACAGUCUCAGUGUUGAAAUCCAGGCUACAAACCCAUCUGUUUAGUGCUGAC